ACUACCCGGAAGAAAAUGCAAAACUACGACAAGAGCAUGGGAUGAAACCAUUAGAAUCGUCGACAAGCAUGGAGGAGGAGGAGGAGACAACGGAAGUGGUGACGGAAUUGUUUAUCGGACCACCGAGAGAAGAGGUAUAAAAAAAACCCUAGUUUGUUAAAUAGUUGUUCAUUAUCUUAAUACAUUAUGAACGAAGCUUCAAAACAUUCAAAACAAAUUGAGAAUAUGAUUUAUAUAUUGGAGCUAUAGCUAAAUAAGGAUAGAAUUGUAAUAAAAAUUGU